CUUGGCUGCAAAAAUAAAUAGUGUUGUUAACUUUACGGGUAAUUAUUUACCCCUAUUCUCUUUUCAAGUGAAUUAAAAUAUACCUUAAUAUAAUAAUACCAGUCACACAAUGGCAAGUGCAUUCCACAUUGCGUCAUGUCAUUGAUACACAUGGCACCACAUCAGCGUCACAUUGAACAUUAUUUAGAUUUUGUUUUUAAUUCUUUUUUGUUUCUUUUUAUUUAUUCACAAUUUUAGAAAGUAAAAAAAAAUCUCAAAAAAUAAGAAUUAAUCAAUGAUUAUAAG
rnacentral:misc_RNA from 1 species